rnacentral:lncRNA from 1 species
UGUGCUAUCUGGUUUGCUAAAAUAGCAAGUUUGCUACUCCUAAACUUUCGCUUGUUAUAUAUAGCAUGUCGUCCUCACUAGCUAUCAUAUACAAAGGCUGUUGUGAAAUUCUAUGCUUUGAGUGAGUUUUUAUUUUACACAAUGGCUAAACUUUGUAGUUUAGAAUAUCAUUUUACCUAGUUUCUUGGAGAUGCUCUUAGAUGCACAACGCACUUUCUUUUGUAGGAUAGGAUUCCUACGAAAAAGACACAAAGAAGCCCUUCGAACAUCACAAAAAUGCAUGAGGCCAAAUUGCAUAUUGGAGUUCGCCAUGACAUAGCUGUUGUCGAGAUGAUCGAAACAUAUAUAUAGACCACCUAAUUCAGCAUUUGUGAAGAAGUUUCUUUCAUAACGCGUGAACAAAAACUUGGAAGAUCCUACGUGACGGUGGUGAAACCAGGCCAUCCGGUUUUGAUCAAACAAGUCAUUUGAUAUGCAUACCGACCCAUCCGUUUUGUCAUCACACUCAUGUUACUUUUGUUGAACCUCAAUCAACCACACAUUAAUUGAGUCACUGACGAAGUGCAGCCCACGAUGAGCUAGCCCCAACCUGACUGCACCAGCAUGUGGGACCGUCUAAAAUACUUCAAAUUUCUAAUUGAUAUAUUUAUACCAAUUUGUGAAAGUGUAUUAGUGUAUAUUUUGUUUAAGCAAUUGUUUUAUCACUAAUCUUCAUCUAAAUUUGUACUAUGCUCCUCGUAUUCUUAUGUCUUAAACAUCCAUUCCUAGCGUCGACCU